rnacentral:rRNA from 1 species
UACAGAGGUCUCAACCGUUGUUCGGAUUCAUUGGGCGUAAAGGGUGCGUAGGCGGCGGGGUAAGUCAGGUGUGAAAUCUCGGGGCUCAACCCCGAAACUGCACUUGAUACUGCCUCGCUUGAGUACUGGAGAGGAGACUGGAAUUUACGGUGUAGCAGUGAAAUGCGUAGAUAUCGGGAGGAACACCAGUGGCGAAGGCGACUUCCUGGCCUGUUCUUGACGCUGAGGCGCGAAAGCUAGGGUAGCAAACGGG